rnacentral:rRNA from 1 species
UACGUAGGGUGCAAGGCGUUGUCCGGAAUUAUUGGGCGUAAAGAGCUCGUAGGCGGUUUGUCGCGUCUGCUGUGAAAACUCAGGGCUUAACCCUGAGCCUGCAGUGGGUACGGGCAGACUAGAGUGUGGUAGGGGAGAUCGGAAUUCCUGGUGUAGCGGUGGAAUGCGCAGAUAUCAGGAGGAACACCAAUAGCGAAGGCAGCUCGCUGGGACGUUACUGACACUGAGGCGCGAAAGCGUGGGGAGCGAACAGG